AUUGAACGCUGGCGGCAUGCUUUACACAUGCAAGUCGAACGGUAACAGGCCGCAAGGUGCUGACGAGUGGCGAACGGGUGAGUAAUGCAUCGGAACGUGCCCAGUCGUGGGGGAUAACGCAGCGAAAGCUGUGCUAAUACCGCAUACGAUCUAUGGAUGAAAGCGGGGGACUGUAGGGCCUCGCGCGAUUGGAGCGGCCGAUGUCAGAUUAGGUAGUUGGUGGGGUAAAGGCCUACCAAGCCGACGAUCUGUAGCUGGUCUGAGAGGACGACCAGCCACACUGGGACUGAGACACGGCCCAGACUCCUACGGGAGGCAGCAGUGGGGAAUUUUGGACAAUGGGCGCAAGCCUGAUCCAGCAAUGCCGCGUGCAGGAAGAAGGCCUUCGGGUUGUAAACUGCUUUUGUACGGAACGAAACGGUCUGGGCUAAUACCCUGGGCUAAUGACGGUACCGUAAGAAUAAGCACCGGCUAACUACGUGCCAGCCGCCGCCGUAAGAC
rnacentral:rRNA from 1 species